GCCACGCGCAGAGGGGCCGGGCCCCACGUGCGGCAUCUUUCCUGAUGUGCUGCCAUUGCUCCACGCAGGACAGGGCGGGAGGGCGCCGGCCGCAGAUCCAGGAAGAAAAACACACAGAGAAGCACCAGAACACUGUCAGCUCAAGUCAAAGGUGGUGCUGGGGACUGAAACUGGUUCCUUGAAGCCAUGGGCAUGAAAGACUUUGCCAGAACUCCUAAGAUAGCUCCUAAGCACAAGUAACCAGAUUCCAGAUGCCAUCAGGAUGCUGGCCAGGCUUCCCUGGAUUGAAGACCCCACCAAUGUGUCCUGGAGCUCAGCUACCCAGAGACACACCCUACUAGGGAAAGAGAGAGGCAGACUGGGAGUAUGGACCAACCAGUCAAUGCCCAUGUUCAGCGGGGAAGCAAUUACAGAAGCCAGACCUUCUACCUUCUACAACCCUCAAUGACCUUGGGUCCAUGCUCCCAGAGGGAUAGAGAAUGGGAAAGCUAACAGGGGAGGGGGUGGGAUAUGGAGAUUGGUGGUGGGAAUUGUGUGGAAUUGUACCCCUCCCACCCUAUGGUUUUGUUAAUUAGUCCUUUCUUAAAUAAAAAAUGAAAAAUUAAAAAAAAUUAAAAAAAGAAAACAAAGUAUCUACAUCAAGUGAUAGAAUUUAAAACUUUAUAAAAACGUAGAAUUUAAAAAAUUAUGAAAUGUUCACUAGGCCCAUAUAUAGAGCACAACUCACCCCAAGUAAGCAAGUUUGUUACCCCCUGUACUCUGGACCCACUCCAGCUUCCAGCCACAUCCUGCCAACACUCACCCAAAGAUCCUCACAGACAGGAUCAUCUGGACACCUUUUUAAAAAUAGCUUCUCAGGGAUGUGGAUCUGACGUAAAGAGGUAUCUGACUCACGAAAAGUUCACUAGGUCCAUAUAUAGAGCACAACUCACCCCAAGUAAGCAACUUUGGAAAUCCCCUGUUCUCUGGACCCACUCAAGCUUCAAACCACAU